GAACCCGCGAAGCUCAGCCAGCGGAGAAUCAAGGGAAUCAAGAAGAGUACCAUGUCGAGGAGGUCCCGUAUGCUCAGGAAGAGCAGGUUUAUGAGAAUCAGCAGCAGAAUCAGCAGACCUACCCAAUGCACGGCGGAAGUCCCUCGAGCGACUACUCCACAAUCUCGGCUCACUCUCUCAAACGCCGUCGCUCCACCACCGUCGACUCUACCGCCGAGCAAAUCGGUGAAGAAAUUGACCGACUCAUUCAGCUGUACCCGCAGCGUGAGAUGCUCAUUAGGCAGGCGUUCUUCAAAACUAUCUUUGCGUUGGAGGAUGAGACGGUGGAAUUUUCGAAUCUCGGGGAUUUAUUCGAGGAUCUCGCCGAACAGGAGAACUUUAAGAGGCGCCGACGAAGCAGGGCUCAGCGGCUGGAAUAAUAAAUUUUAUAACUUUUAUUUAAUUGCUAUUUAAUUUUCGUAUCACGUCUCUCUUGCUUAUGGAUUCUUGAUUUUUGAUUCUUGAUUCUUUGUCCAAUUUCUCAUAUCACGCGGUCUCACUACUUCAGUAAAUUUGAAUUCACUUUGUACUUUGCUUUUUUAUUCGCAAAAAUUGGCUCUUCAACUCCCAGUAUCAUUUUCUAUGCUCUUUUGCUCUUUCAAUUUUAACCCCAUAGCCCAGAAUUCCAGAGCCCAUGUCCCUCAUCAAGCAGGAGCACAUGAAUCCCCCACCACGCACCAUCACCCCACUACCACCGCCGACACACCAGAUUACAAUCGAGGAGUAUAAGGAAAGGGUGAAGAGGGACUAUUACCGGAACGCCACAAAAGACACGAGUCUGAAGAAGGUUGUGCUCUCGCUGAUCAAGGAUCGUCCAGGGAUGUGGCAGAACGGCAAUCGGUUUCAGCUUGAGAACUGGCGAGAACUGGGAGUUGAUGUGUAUCAGAGGACUGGACAGAUUGUUCGUGCUGAGUUAGGGGAAGUUUCAGGUCCCGUGAGGUGUCGGGAUAUACUUCGACGCCUCCUCUCUGCAACGGGAUUCAUGGGUCGUAGAAACUUACCGUACACGUUUGAUAGCAUGUCACCCCACUGUCGUACCAUUGACAAGUGACGGCACACGUUUACCAAGGCUCCUUUCGAAAAGUUCCGAUAAUAUUUUCCAGUUAACGACAUGCACAGGAUGUUCGUGGUGGGAAAAGCCGUACUCAAACAGAAGAUCACCGUCUGCAUCCGGUACAAGAAAUUGGAUCGCGCCGCUACCGAGGCGGACCUCUGGAAUUGGGAGUUCUACCGUCACUUUCUCUACUACCGUGAGAUGCUCGAUCGGUUUGAGGCAAAUCUUCGCGGCAAACAAUGGACCGGAGAGGAUCAGCCGACCGACGACGAUGACGAUAUCAUCUGUGAUGGGAUUUUCGAGGUGGAGAUGGUUGAUAG
rnacentral:sRNA from 1 species